CAGUAGCCGCGGGAAUACGUAGGUGGCAAGCGUUAUCCGGAAUUAUUGGGCGUAAAGCGCGCGUAGGCGGUUUCUUAAGUCUGAUGUGAAAGCCCACGGCUCAACCGUGGAGGGUCAUUGGAAACUGGGAAACUUGAGUGCAGAAGAGGAAAGUGGAAUUCCAUGUGUAGCGGUGAAAUGCGCAGAGAUAUGGAGGAACACCAGUGGCGAAGGCGACUUUCUGGUCUGUAACUGACGCUGAUGUGCGAAAGCGUGGGGAUCAAACAGGAUUAGAUACCCCAGUAGUCCCUGUCUCUUAUAC
rnacentral:rRNA from 1 species